rnacentral:rRNA from 1 species
UACGAACCGUGCGAACGUUGUUCGGAAUCACUGGGCUUAAAGGGCGCGUAGGCGGGCUGUCAAGUCUGGGGUGAAAUGCCGCGGCUCAACCGUGGAACUGCCUUAGAUACUGACGGCCUUGAGGAAGGUAGGGGCAUGCGGAACUGUAGGUGGAGCGGUGAAAUGCGUUGAUAUCUACAGGAACUCCGGUGGCGAAAGCGGCGUGCUGGACCUUUUCUGACGCUGAGGCGCGAAAGCUAGGGGAGCAAACGGG